rnacentral:rRNA from 2 species
AGUGGCAGACGGGUGAGUAACGCGUGGGAAUCUACCUGAUACUACGGAACAACUGAGGGAAACUUCAGCUAAUACCGUAUACGCCCCAAGGGGGAAAGAUUUAUCGGUAUCAGAUGAGCCCGCGUUGGAUUAGCCAGUUGGUGGGGUAAUGGCCUACCAAGGCGACGAUCCAUAGCUGGUCUGAGAGGAUGAUCAGCCACACUGGGACUGAGACACGGCCCAGACUCCUACGGGAGGCAGCAGUGGGGAAUAUUGGACAAUGGGCGAAAGCCUGAUCCAGCCAUGCCGCGUGAGUGAUGAAGGCCUUAGGGUUGUAAAGCUCUUUCAGUGGGGACGAUAAUGACGGUACCCACAGAAGAAGCCCCGGCUAACAUCGUGCCAGCAGCCGCGGUAAUACGAAGGGGGCUAGCGUUGUUCGGAUUUACUGGGUGUAAAGCGCACGUAGGCGGAUCGUUAAGUGAGGGGUGAAAUCCCAGGGCUCAACCCUGGA